CAGGUAGAUGCUGGCUGGAUUGGAUUUUGGUCCAUAGUUGGAGGCUGUGUUGUUGGAAUAGCUAUGGCAAGGUUUGCAGAUUUUAUCAGGGGUAUGCUGAAACUAAUUCUUCUCCUCCUGUUUUCUGGGGCUACCCUAUCGUCCACAUGGUUCACCCUGACCUGUUUGAAUAGCAUCACACACCUGCCUUUAACCACAGUGACAUUGUAUGCCUCCUGCAUUCUCCUGGGAGUGUUCUUGAAUAGCAGUAUACCUAUAUUUUUUGAGCUUUUUGUGGAAACUGUCUACCCAGUUCCAGAAGGAAUUACAUGUGGAGUUGUCACUUUUUUAAGUAAUAUGUUCAUGGGAGUACUUUUAUUUUUUCUCACAUUUUAUCACACAGGUAAGAAAUUUGACUUUU